GCUUGCUCCUCUGACGUUAGCGGCGGACGGGUGAGUAACACGUGGAUAACCUACCUAUAAGACUGGGAUAACUUCGGGAAACCGGAGCUAAUGCCGGAUAAUAUAUUGAACCGCAUGGUCCAAUAGUGAAAGACGGUUUUGCUGUCACUUAUAGAUGGAUCCGCGCCGCAUUAGCUAGUUGGUAAGGUAACGGCUUACCAAGGCAACGAUGCGUAGCCGACCUGAGAGGGUGAUCGGCCACACUGGAACUGAGACACGGUCCAGACUCCUACGGGAGGCAGCAGUAGGGAAUCUUCCGCAAUGGGCGAAAGCCUGACGGAGCAACGCCGCGUGAGUGAUGAAGGUCUUCGGAUCGUAAAACUCUGUUAUUAGGGAAGAACAAAUGUGUAAGUAACUAUGCACGUCUUGACGGUACCUAAUCAGAAAGCCACGGCUAACUACGUGCCAGCAGCCGCGGUAAUACGUAGGUGGCAAGCGUUAUCCGGAAUUAUUGGGCGUAAAGCGCGCGUAGGCGGUUUUUUAAGUCUGAUGUGAAAGCCCACGGCUCAACCGUGGAGGGUCAUUGGAAACUGGAAAACUUGAGUGCAGAAGAGGAAAGUGGAAUUCCAUGUGUAGCGGUGAAAUGCGCAGAGAUAUGGAGGAACACCAGUGGCGAAGGCGACU
rnacentral:rRNA from 1 species